AUUGAACGCUGGCGGCAUGCCUUACACAUGCAAGUCGAACGGCAGCGGGCCUUCGGGUGCCGGCGAGUGGCGAACGGGUGAGUAAUGCAUCGGAACGUGCCAUUGAGUGGGGGAUAACGUAGCGAAAGUUGCGCUAAUACCGCAUAUUCUGUGAGCAGGAAAGCAGGGGACCGCAAGGCCUUGCGCUCUUUGAGCGGCCGAUGUCAGAUUAGCUAGUUGGUGAGGUAAAGGCUUACCAAGGCGACGAUCUGUAGCGGGUCUGAGAGGAUGAUCCGCCACACUGGAACUGAGACACGGUCCAGACUCCUACGGGAGGCAGCAGUGGAGAAUUUUGGACAAUGGGGGCAACCCUGAUCCAGCCAUGCCGCGUGAGUGAAGAAGGCCUGG
rnacentral:rRNA from 1 species